rnacentral:rRNA from 1 species
GGUGUGCCGCAGCAAUGCGGUCUCAGCAAAGAGUCCCUCCCGACUGUUUACCAAAAACACAGCACUUUGCCAACUCGUAAGAGGAAGUAUAAGGUGUGACGCCUGCCCGGUGCUCGAAGGUUAAGAGGAUGCGUCAGUCGCAAGAUGAAGCGUUGAAUUGAAGCCCGAGUAAACGGCGGCCGUAACUAUAACGGUCCUAAGGUAGCGAAAUUCCUUGUCGGUUAAAUACCGACCUGCAUGAAUGGCGUAACGAGAUGGGAGCUGUCUCAACCAGAGAUUCAGUGAAAUUGUAGUGGAGGUGAAAAUUCCUCCUACCCGCGGCAAGACGGAAAGACCCCGUGGACCUUUACUACAACUUAGCACUGCUAAUGGGAAUAUCAUGCGCAGGAUAGGUGGGAGGCUUUGAAGUAAGGGCUU